rnacentral:lncRNA from 1 species
GGCAGUUUGAAAGGCCUCCAAAAAAGCAUGACAUUCAAUCAAAGUUCAGCAAGGAAAGUUUUAAUGAAUAAACUUAGUAAAUUAGAAAGCACUGCGGCAGAGUGAUUAACUCUCAUUUGGGCAUUAGUGUUGAAAUUAAUUAAAAUGUUUAAGCCAUAGGAGGCAGGCUACCUCGUCAGGACCUGGCUCUGCCCUCGGAGUCAGUCUGGAUCCAGGAGUGAUUCAUCUUACACAGAUGAGAGGGGGAUAAAAGGAAAAGAACAGUCAGGACAAAUGUGUUUUCAAUGGUGCUUAGCAGCAGGAGACCACUGGGACUUCAGAGCAACGCUACUGGAGUGUGACAUCAUAAUACGCCUUUCUCUGGAAUGGACCGAAUAUGGAAUAACAUGGACAUGUCUGAUGCACAUCUGGAGAUGGGACGGCAGCGCAUAAUACUUCCUGGAACUGCGAGACAAUGGGGUUGUCUUUUGACAUUGAGGCAGGUUAUUAAAUAGAAGUGUGAACUAUUAAGAGAUGAUCUUGACCCUCAAUACAUUUUUAUCAAAGUCAAAAAAUAUUUGACACCACUGAACAGCUUAUCACAGGCACAAAAGGGGAAAUGCUUUAUUAUGGAAAUGUGUACUAUGUUCUUCAAAACAGAAGAAUAAAAAUAUAUGCAUUUUUAAAUGAAUAACAGCUUGUAAGACUCCCAAUGAUUAACAGCAGUUGUACAUUAAGUAUUCUCUGAAAUGAUAUUUGUAAACUGGAGGGUUGACCAAUCUUAGUGCGAACUUCCU